AUUGAACGCUGGCGGCAUGCCUUACACAUGCAAGUCGAACGGUAAUAGGUCUUCGGACGCUGACGAGUGGCGAACGGGUGAGUAAUACAUCGGAACGUGCCCAGUCGUGGGGGAUAACUACUCGAAAGAGUGGCUAAUACCGCAUACGAUCUGAGGAUGAAAGCGGGGGACCUUCGGGCCUCGCGCGAUUGGAGCGGCCGAUGGCAGAUUAGGUAGUUGGUGGGAUAAAAGCUUACCAAGCCGACGAUCUGUAGCUGGUCUGAGAGGACGACCAGCCACACUGGGACUGAGACACGGCCCAGACUCCUACGGGAGGCAGCAGUGGGGAAUUUUGGACAAUGGGCGAAAGCCUGAUCCAGCAAUGCCGCGUGCAGGAUGAAGGCCUUCGGGUUGUAAACUGCUUUUGUACGGAACGAAAAGGCUCUGGUUAAUACCCGGGGCUCAUGACGGUACCGUAAGAAUAAGCACCGGCUAACUACGUGCCAGCCGCCGCAGUAACAC
rnacentral:rRNA from 1 species